GCCUCCUAGAGGAGGGGCUCUUUCUUUCCUUCUCUUUGUGGCUUAGCCAUAAGCUAGAAAUUUGGGAUCUAAAUGCAGCAGAACCUUGCUGCCCUUAGGAACUCUCUUAUUUGACACCAGGUGGUUGGAGUAGGAAGUGCACAAACAGAUUGCUUUUGUUUACUACUAAGCCAUCUUUCCUCUUGGCUUAUAUAAAGGCUUAAAUACUGGAGACUUUUAGAGCAGAUUUGAGCUUUUUUCUGACACUUUAUGUCCUGCCUUUCACAGCAGGUGCAGGGAGUCUUGGGUUUCUCCUGGGUGCAGUAGCCCUUGGCUGGAGGGUUUUUUUUUAUACCAUGGCCUUGACCAUUCUCCUUAUUUUAUUUAUUUAUUUUUUGGGGCAUUUAUUCUUCUAGUGUCAUUUCCUUUUGCACCGUGCACAUUAAUCUCUCUCUAGCCUUGGCCAGCUUUCAAACUCCUGUCCAAACCAGCCUUUUCCAUGACUGUGUUCACGCCCACGACCAUGCCUCCUUGCAAAGCCAGCUUCUCUUCCCAUAAGGGCUGCUGCUAGUAAAUUAGCCUUUGUUAAGCCUCUGAUCAGCUUUCUUCUCUGCCUCCUGAACUCAGUUAAUGUACACCUUGUAACCACUUUAAUAAGCUGAGUUGCAUUCACACCUACGGAGCUUCUAACUUCUGCAAUUUGUGCCUGAUAUCUCCUUGGGCCUGCCUUACAAAUGCUGUGUCCACCAUGCACUGAUUUUCAGCAGCCUUAGGGUUAAACAGAGUGUACAACCAAAAUGCCUCAAAAAGUCUUUCUUAAAACUGGCUGGUGCUUUUAUCUGCACCCUGG
rnacentral:lncRNA from 10 species